AUGAAAAAAACAGAGAAAAGGAGAGAGAGACGCACGAGAAACAGAGUCCUGGAUUCUCCUCAUCUCUCCCAAAUCGCCGCCAUCAAUCGCCUCGUAUCCCUCCUCCGACCCACCUCGCCGCCGGCCCUUCCCCUCCGCUCCUUCCACCUCGCAGCUCUAGUGGCUGCCGGAUCCGCCCAAUCCCCACCCACUCAUCCCUCUCGCGUCCCAUCUCCCUCUCUUCACACGGCUCCUUCUACGCCACCUGCGACGGUUGACUCAGGCGACGUCCGGCGAACCCCGCCACCGUGAAGCACAGCCUAAGUCCCCCUCGCACCACGGCGCCCUCCCAUCAGGUUAGAUCUGGCGCUCGCGGUCACCAAAGCCCACCCGCGACCCUCCCCCCAUGGCUCUUAGGGUUUCAGGCGUCGGCUCCGGUGGCCGUCGUCCACCUCCCAUCCGGGAGGAACCGCCAGUGGACAUCCUUGCAGAUACUCGGGAUAAAGCAGCCAUGGAGCUUCCUCCUAUUCCUCUGGCUUCGGGGCAACAACAUUGUAGGGAACGAUUGUCUUUCUAGUAAGCUAUUCUGAAGCCCAUCUACGUCUUGGAGCAGCAACCAGUGUGUUUGAGGAGUGAAAGAAUCCAGUUGGGUGGUCUGCAGCUCUGAUCACCUCCAGCAUCACCACAUAAUCAAAGUUCCAAACAGUAGUGCUGCACUGCUACCUCCAGCCAGCAUUUCACUUUGAUGUUUAUAGCUACACGCACCAACUCGAUGUAUGGUGACUCCAUGGAGCAAGUCAAGUUCGUGGAGCAAGUCAUGGACGAUGCCAUGGAAGAUUCAAAAUAUAUAUGGAUGAUUAUAAUGGUGCGUGGCAAGUAUAUUGCAAUGAUGAUGAUGUUCCGGUUCAUGAUGAUGAUGAUGUUCCGGUUCAUGAUGAUAAUGAUGGAUGCUAUCAGUUUUAGUUAAGUUGUAGGGAUGAUGUUCCUGUCUGAUGAUGUUCCCCAGUUAAGUUAGUUUAAGUUGUAGGGAUGUUGAAGGAUGCUUUCUAUUUAAGUUUCGCUGUCAAGAAAAUAUUUAGAUUAUGCAUCAAAUUUGGAUGAUGUUUCCCCUGCAAUAUCAACCAUUGUAAUCCAACAACUUUAUCCAAUAUAUGAUUUCUUUCUC
rnacentral:rRNA from 1 species